rnacentral:piRNA from 1 species
UGAGAUUUAAAUGACAAUGCCCACAUAG